CAAAAUGACUCUCGGCAACGGAUAUCUCGGCUCUCGCAUCGAUGAAGAACGUAGCGAAAUGCGAUACUUGGUGUGAAUUGCAGAAUCCCGUGAACCAUCGAGUCUUUGAACGCAAGUUGCGCCCAAAGCCUUCUGGUUGAGGGCACGUCUGCCUGGG
rnacentral:rRNA from 1 species